rnacentral:rRNA from 1 species
GACGAACGCUGGCGGCGUGCUUAACACAUGCAAGUCGAGCGGUAAGGCCCUUUCGGGGGUACACGAGCGGCGAACGGGUGAGUAACACGUGGGUGACCUGCCCUCAGCUCUGGGAUAAGCCUGGGAAACUGGGUCUAAUACUGGAUAUGACUCCACGGUGCAUGUCGUGGGGUGGAAAGCCCUGUGCGGCUGAGGAUGGGCCCGCGGCCUAUCAGCUUGUUGGUGGGGUGANGGCCUACCAAGGCGACGACGGGUAGCCGGCCUGAGAGGGCGACCGGCCACACUGGGACUGAGACACGGCCCAGACUCCUACGGGAGGCAGCAGUGGGGAAUCUUGCGCAAUGGGCGAAAGCCUGACGCAGCGACGCCGCGUGAGGGAUGACGGCCUGGUGUAAC